GGAGUCGCUGGAAGACGGUCUUGCGGAAGAGAAUGAAGACCCAGGGGUCCAGGAUGGGGUUGAAGGCGUUGAAGCGGAAGGCGAGCAGGUCCCCCAUCUCGCUGCUGUCCGGCGCGAUGGCCUGGGUGAAGCCUCGGAUCUGAGGGCAGGGAGGCCGUCAGGGGGCCCAGGGUCCGCCACCUCCCCUGGCCCCCACUUGCUCACCAGCAGGGGUGAGGGAGGGGCGCAAAGGAAGGAAAGAAGAUAAGAUGGAAACCGAGUCGCUAGAGCAUCCGGGGAGCAGAGGAAGGGAAAGCCCCAGAACACCGCCUGGGGGAGAGGCUGGGGCAAGGAAUGUGGGUCCCCUGGCCCUUGGCAGCCUGGGGGACUCCUCAGCUGGACCCUGAGGUCUAAGGCUCCCCAGAUCACACGCAGAGCUGCGGCAGUGUCUGGCCACACUCAUCCUCUGAGUCAAGUCAACCCCAGCCCAGCCCCUUGCAUUUUACAGAAAGAGAAACUGAGGUCCAGAAACAGGAAGCUCAGAGUUGGGGCCCAGGGGACCCUAAUCCAAUGUGAAUAAUGGAGCAUUUGCCAGAAGGUCCCCCUGGGAGGAGAGCACACUGAGCCACCACCAGCCAGAUCCAGGGUCCAGCCUCCACCUGCCAGAGCUAAGGAGCACCAGACUCAGCCUGAGAGGGGCGGGGCUUGCCUACCCAAACCCUCAGGCCAAUAAGACUCACUGCUCUCUGUGCAGGUCCCAAGUUUUAUUUCCACCAUGGCCCAGGCCAAGUGUCUCCUCCUCCAGGAAGCCCUUCCUGACCUUCAAGUUCAGCGAGGUGCUACUUCUGAGUUCCUAAAUCUCAGCCCCACCCAAUCUGCACACCGUCUGGGGCAGGUCUGUCUCUUCCACGGGACUGAGCUACAGAAGAGCAGGACCAGGGCUGUCUCAAUUACAGCCACAUCUUCAAUAUCACCAAGCACAGACGGGGCUGGUCACAGAACAGAUCUGGGCCUGAGCAGUCCCCAAGGAGGAAGCCCAGCUUAGAGCCAGGAAAAGCAGGGUGACGACCCAGUCUCUCCACGCUGCCCCACUCCUGCGACUGAGGCCAGAGGCUGGCGGGGGGAAGCGAGGUGACCUCCAUUUCUGAGCACGGACUUUAGCGUCUUUUCACCCUGCGGAUAGCCUUAGUUCAUGCCCUGAGCGGCACAAGAUUCACCAGACAUCCUUAUUUGUCCCCAUCUUUUGGAGGAGGAAACUGAGACCCUGAAUUUGACUUCACUUCUGGCUUUAAUUAUUGAAGAAACCAUCAAUGAACGGCAACACUGAAUUCUAGGAUCAAGUGCCCAAUCACCUGUUGAUUAUGUCUCCACCUGGAUGUCUAGUAGGUGUCUUAAGGCAUCAAAAACUGAGCCCUUGGGUGUAGCUCAGUGGUGGAGCGCUUGCCUAGCACGUGUGAGGAGGCACUGCAUAAAAAUAGAUGUAAUAAAGGCAUUCUACUGAUCUACAAAUCCAUAGAUUUGUAGAUUCCUCCUA